CCCUAGCCCUGAUGGGAACGGCAUCCUUUUUUGUUUUUCUGUGGCUCAAGUUGCUUGGAAUGACAAUCGUUCUGAAAAACAAAAAAGAUAUAGUGGACAGCAGGAUUAAGC
rfam:Epilithonimonas sp. FH1 contig05, whole genome shotgun sequence.